UACAGAGGGGGCAAGCGUUGUUCGGAAUUACUGGGCGUAAAGGGCGCGUAGGCGGUCUUGCAAGUCCCGUGUGAAAUCCCUCGGCUCAACUGAGGAACUGCACGGGAAACUGCUUGGCUUGAGUUCGGGAGAGGGAAGCGGAAUUCCGGGUGUAGCGGUGAAAUGCGUAGAUAUCCGGAGGAACACCGGUGGCGAAGGCGGCUUCCUGGACCGACACUGACGCUGAGGCGCGAAAGCUAGGGGAGCAAACGGG
rnacentral:rRNA from 1 species